rnacentral:rRNA from 1 species
CCUACGGGCGGCUGCAGUAGGGAAUAUUGGACAAUGGAGGAGACUCUGAUCCAGCCAUCCCGCGUGAAGGAUUAAGGUCCUAUGGAUUGUAAACUUCUUUUCUUUGGGAAUAAAAUCUCCGAUUCCUCGGAGCUUGAAGGUACCAGGGGAAUAAGCACCGGCUAACUCCGUGCCAGCAGCCGCGGUAAUACGGAGGGUGCAGGCGUUACCCGGAUUCACUGGGGUUUAGGUGGUCUUAGAUGGUUUUGUAGAAAGCCUACAGCUUAACUGUAGAAUUGCCAUUGAUACUGCUUAACUUGAAUCAAGUCGAAGUGGAUGGAAUAGAUCAUGUAGCGGUGAAAUGCUUAGAUAUGAGUUAGAACACCAAUUGCGAAGGCAGUUCACUAGGCUUGUAUUGACACUGAGGCACGAAAGCGUGGGGAUCAAACAGGAUUAGAUACCCGAGUAGUC